rnacentral:snRNA from 1 species
GUGCUUGCUUCGGUAGCACAUAUACUAAAAUUGGAAUGAUACAGAGAAUAUUAGCGUGGCUCCUGUGCAAGGAUGGCAUGCAAAUUCAUGAAGCGUUCCAUACUUUU